UUUGGACAAUGGGCGAAAGCCUGAUCCAGCAAUGCCGCGUGUGUGAAGAAGGCCUUCGGGUUGUAAAGCACUUUUGUCCGGAAAGAAAUCCGCCUGGCUAAUACCCGGGCGGGAUGACGGUACCGGAAGAAUAAGCACCGGCUAACUACGUGCCAGCAGCCGCGGUAAUACGUAGGGUGCGAGCGUUAAUCGGAAUUACUGGGCGUAGAGCGUGCGCAGGCGGUUAUGCAAGACAGGUGUGAAAUCCCCGGGCUCAACCUGGGAACUGCACUUGUGACUGCAUGACUAGAGUGCGUCAGAGGGAGGUGGAAUUCCGCGUGUAGCAGUGAAAUGCGUAGAGAUGCGGAGGAACACCGAUGGCGAAGGCAACCUCCUGGGAUGACACUGACGCUCAUGCACGAAAGCGUGGGG
rnacentral:rRNA from 1 species